rnacentral:rRNA from 1 species
GACGAACGCUGGCGGCGUGCUUAACACAUGCAAGUCGAACGGAAAGGCCCUGCUUUUGUGGGGUGCUCGAGUGGCGAACGGGUGAGUAACACGUGAGUAACCUGCCCUUGACUUUGGGAUAACUUCAGGAAACUGGGGCUAAUACCGGAUAGGAGCUCCUGCUGCAUGGUGGGGGUUGGAAAGUUUCGGCGGUUGGGGAUGGACUCCCGGCUUAUCAGCUUGUUGGUGGGGUAGUGGCUUACCUAGGCUUUGACGGGUAGCCGGCCUGUGAGGGUGACCGGCUACAUUGUUCCUCAGGUACGGCCCAGACUCGUCCGGCACACAACAGUGGGCAAUAUUGCUACGUGAGCCGAAGCCAAUUGCAGCGACCCCCCGUGCGGAAUCACGGCCUUCGGCUUGUAAACCGCUUUCGCCUGUGCCGGAGCCUGAGUGACGGUAACGGGUAAAGAAGCACCGGCUAACUACGUG